rnacentral:rRNA from 1 species
UACGGAGGGGGCUAGCGUUGCUCGGAAUCACUGGGCGUAAAGGGUGCGUAGGCGGGUCUUUAAGUCAGGGGUGAAAUCCUGGAGCUCAACUCCAGAACUGCCUUUGAUACUGAAGAUCUUGAGUUCGGGAGAGGUGAGUGGAACUGCGAGUGUAGAGGUGAAAUUCGUAGAUAUUCGCAAGAACACCAGUGGCGAAGGCGGCUCACUGGCCCGAUACUGACGCUGAGGCACGAAAGCGUGGGGAGCGAUCCGG